rnacentral:rRNA from 1 species
UAGGGAAUCUUCCACAAUGGACGCAAGUCUGAUGCAGCAACGCCGCGUGAGGGAAGAAGGUCUUCGGAUUGUAAACCUUUGUCCUCGGUGACGAUAAUGACGGUAGCCGAGGAGGAAGCUCCGGCUAACUACGUGCCAGCAGCCGCGGUAAUACGUAGGUGGCAAGCGUUGUCCGGAUUUAUUGGGCGUAAAGGGAACGCAGGCGGUCUUUUAAGUCUGAUGUGAAAGCCUUCGGCUUAACCGAAGUCGUGCAUUGGAAACUGGGAGACUUGAGUGCAGAAGAGGAGAGUGGAACUCCAUGUGUAGCGGUGAAAUGCGUAGAUAUAUGGAAGAACACCAGUGGCGAAAGCGGCUCUCUGGUCUGUAACUGACGCUGAGGUUCGAAAGCGUGGGUAGCAAACAGGAUUAGAUACCCUGGUAGUCCACGCUGUAAACGAUGAAUGCUAAGUGUUGGAGGGUUUCCGCCCUUCAGUGCUGCAGCUAACGCAUUAAGCAUUCCGCCUGGGGAGUACGACCGCAAGGUUG